CAGCCGCCGCGGGAAUACGAAGGGGGCUAGCGUUGCUCGGAAUCAUUGGGCGUAAAGCGUGCGCAGGCGGUUCGCUAAGACAGAUGUGAAAUCCCCGGGCUUAACCUGGGAACCGCAUUUGUGACUGGCGGGCUAGAGUAUGGCAGAGGGGGGUAGAAUUCCACGUGUAGCAGUGAAAUGCGUAGAGAUGUGGAGGAAUACCGAUGGCGAAGGCAGCCCCCUGGGCCAAUACUGACGCUCAUGCACGAAAGCGUGGGGAGCAAACAGGAUUAGAUACCCCGGUAGUCCCUGUCUCUUAUAA
rnacentral:rRNA from 1 species